rnacentral:tRNA from 1 species
GCCUUCCUAGUGUAGUGGUCAGCACGCUCAUCGCAUAAGCGAGAAGUCCGUGGUUCGAUUCCUGGGGAAGGCG